rnacentral:snRNA from 1 species
AUGGCCUUGCACCAGCAGCAUAUACACUAAAAUUGGAACAAUACAAAGAAGAGUAUAGCCCCUAUACAGGAAUCACAUGCAAAUUUGUGAAGCAUUCACUAUUUUU